rnacentral:rRNA from 1 species
AGCGAACGCUGGCGGCAGGCCUAACACAUGCAAGUCGAGCGCCCAGCAAUGGGAGCGGCAGACGGGUGAGUAACGCGUGGGGAUCUGCCCAAUGGUACGGAAUAACCCAGGGAAACUUGGACUAAUACCGUAUGUGCCCUUCGGGGGAAAGAUUUAUCGCCAUCGGAUGAACCCGCGUCGGAUUAGCUAGUUGGUGAGGUAAAGGCUCACCAAGGCGACGAUCCGUAGCUGGUCUAAGAGGAUGAUCAGCCACACUGGGACUGAGACACGGCCCAGACUCCUACGGGAGGCAGCAGUGGGGAAUAUUGGACAAUGGGCGCAAGCCUGAUCCAGCCAUGCCGCGUGAGUGAUGAAGGCCUUAGGGUUGUAAAGCUCUUUCGCCGGUGAAGAUAAUGACGGUAACCGGAGAAGAAGCCCCGGCUAACUUCGUGCCAGCCGCCGCGGUAAAGC